rnacentral:tRNA from 1 species
GGGGAUGUGGCUCACCAGUAGAGCAUUUGCCUAGCACGCAUGAGACCUGGGUUUGAUUCCCCACAUCACAG